GGUUCGUGUGGCUUGUAUUAAUUGGCACCGGCUCCAAAAAAUAUUAUUAUAAAAUUAGGUACUUUACAUGCACUU